ACUCCUACGGGAGGCAGCAGUGGGGAAUAUUGCACAAUGGGGGAAACCCUGAUGCAGCCAUGCCGCGUGUGUGAAGAAGGCCUUCGGGUUGUAAAGCACUUUCAGUAGGGAGGAAGGUAGUGUAGUUAACACCUGCAUUAUUUGACGUUACCUACAGAAGAAGCACCGGCUAACUCCGUGCCAGCAGCCGCGGUAAUACGGAGGGUGCGAGCGUUAAUCGGAAUUACUGGGCGUAAAGCGCAUGCAGGUGGUUUGUUAAGUCAGAUGUGAAAGCCCGGGGCUCAACCUCGGAAUUGCAUUUGAAAACUGGCAGGCUAGAGUCUUGUAGAGGGGGGUAGAAUUUCAGGUGUAGCGGUGAAAUGCGUAGAGAAUCUGAGGAAUACCGGUGGCGGAAGGCGGCCCCCUGGACAGAUACUGACACUCAGAUGCGAAAAGCGUGGGGAGCAAAACAGGAUUAGAUACCCUGGUAGGAUAGCG
rnacentral:rRNA from 1 species